AUGACAGUGGCAGGGUGCCCAGCCAGGACAUGGACAUCAGCCAUGGUUCUAAGUUCUCUGCAAGUGUGUGAGUGUGUGUGUAGGGGCUGGGGAUGGGGCUGGAGGUCAUUCACAGAUCAGAGCACAGGAGGGGAGAGAGAGCUCCUGAGGGUAGGACUGCUGGUCAUUCACACCCUACGCCCUGGAGCCCUGAGGACCUGUCACUCGGACCCACCACCAGCCAGAGCAGCAUCAGUCACUGACCAGAGGAGCCCAGAAGCCACAGGAGUGCCCACAUGGCUGGUACAUUGGAGACGCUCUGGAAUAAAUACACCUGGGCCUUUGAAAACGGAGUCCUUGGUUCAUGUCCAGAUGGAAGCCUCUGAGGUUAGCAGGACCCCUCGCUGCCUACAACCCGGGCCUGGUAGCUCUCUCAGGGUAUCUAUUCUGUGA
rnacentral:lncRNA from 1 species